rnacentral:lncRNA from 1 species
UGCUCCCUCUUCUGUCUCCUUCCAACCCCUCUUCCUGAUCUUCCCCCUCCCAUGGCUCCAUUCCCUUUCCUUUAUGGAGCCAUCUACUCUUGUCCUCCCUUUGGUGGAACAGGAUCCAGUCCACGCGCCGACGGGAAUAGAAUCCAGUCCACACACCAACGGGAAUAGAAUCCAGUCCACACACCGACGGAACAGGAUCCAGUCCACGCGCCGAUGGGAAUAGAAUCCAGUCCACACACCGACGGAACAGGAUCCAGUCCACGCGCCGACGGAAGAGGAUCCAGUCCACGUGCCGACGGAAGAGGAUCCAGUCCACGCGCCGACGGAAGAGGAUCCAGUCCACACACGGAUGGAAUAGAAUCCAGUCCAUGCACCGACGGAACAGAAUCCAGUCCACUCAUCUAUGGUCGAUUGACUUCUACCAACAUUACCAAAACCAUUCAGUGGGGGAAAGAAUAGCCUUUUCAACAAAUGAUGCUGAAACAAAUCGAUGUCCACAUGCAAAAGAAUGAAUUUGAACUCAUAUCAUACCAUACAUAAAACUUAACUCAAAAUAUAUCAAAGAUCUAAAUGUAAGAGCUAAAACUAUAAAAGUCUGAGAAGGAAAUGUAGGUGGAGCCUGGGCAACAUAGUGAGACCCUGUCUCUACAAAAUAUAAAAAAAAAAUUGCCAGGCAUGAUGGUGUGCUUCUUGGGAGGCUGAGGUGGGAGGAGCACUUGAGCCUGGGAGGUUGAGGCUGCAGUGAGCCGCCAUCGCACCACUGUACUCCAGCCUGGGCAGCGGAAGGAGACCCUGUCUCAAAAAAAAAAAAAAAAAAAAAAAUGGGGAAACAGGUGAAAAUCUCUAUGAUUUUGAAUUUGGAAAUGGUUUCUUAGAAAUAAGCACAAGAAUCAAAGAAAAAAUAAAUUAAGAUAAAUCAAACUUUACUAAAAUUAAAAACAUUGUAUGUUAAAGGAUACCAACAAGAUAGUGAAAAGACAAUCCACAGAAUGGAAGACUAUAUUUGCAAAAUAUCUAUCUGAUAAGGGCCUAACAUCUAGAAUACGCAAACAACUCUUUUUUAUUUUUUU